AGGCUGCUAUAUACUGUCAGUAUGCACGUGCAUUUCGUGUUACAUCAGAAAAAGUCGUUUCUGAUUUUUUGCGACGUUUAGGCGAUUCGUUAAUUUGUUUCGCCAUUUGUUA